UGUGUUUCUCCGAGGCAAAGCAGC
rnacentral:misc_RNA from 1 species